rnacentral:rRNA from 1 species
AGUGAACGCUGGCGGCAGGCCUAACACAUGCAAGUCGAACGGCAGCACAGUAAGCGCUUGCUCUUACGGGUGGCGAGUGGCGGACGGGUGAGGAAUACAUCGGAAUCUACUUUUUCGUGGGGGAUAACGUAGGGAAACUUACGCUAAUACCGCAUACGUCCUACGGGUGGAAGCAGGGGGUCUUCGGGCCUUGCGCGAUUGAUUGAGCCGAUGUCGGAUUAGCUAGUUGGCGGGGUAAAGGCCUACCAAGGCGACGAUCCGUAGCUGGUCUGAGAGGAUGAUCAGCCACACUGGAACUGAGACACGGUCCAGACUCCUACGGGAGGCAGCAGUGGGGAAUAUUCGACAAUGGGCGCAAGCCUGAUCCAGCCAUACCGCGUGGGUGAAGAAGGCCUUCGGGUUGUAAAGCCCUUUUGUUGGGAAAGAAAAGCAGCAGGUUAAUACCCCGCUGUUCUGACGGUACCCAAAGAAUAAGCACCGGCUAACUUCGUG